rnacentral:rRNA from 1 species
AGCGCGAUGAGGGAAUCCCAAGUGCUUGCUCGUAAGAGUAAGCUGUUUUUAGGUCUAAAAAGCAUAGAGAGUAAGGGCUGGGUAAGACGGGGGCCAGCCGCCGCGGUAAUACCUGCAGCUCAAGUGGUGAUCAUUAUUAUUGGGCCUAAAACGUCCGUAGCCGGUUUGGUAAAUGCCUGGGUAAAUCGUGUAGCUUAACUAUACGAAUUCCGGGUAGACUGCCAAACUUGGGACCGGGAGAGGCUAGAGGUACUCCUGGGGUAGAGGUGAAAUUCUGUAAUCCUAGGGGGACCACCAGUGGCGAAGGCGUCUAGCUAGAACGGGUCUGACGGUCAGGGACGAAGCCCUGGGGCGCGAACCGGAUUAGAUACCCGGGUAGUCCAGGGUGUAAACGCUGCUUGCUUGAUGUUAGUUGGGCUCCGAGCCCAAUUAGUGUCGGAGAGAAGUUGUUAAGCAAGCUGCCUGG